AGAUAUACUGCAAAGUUCCAGGGAGAGAAGAACAACACAGAAGAGACAGAAGUAGAUAAACAACAUGCUGCUGUGAGAGGUGAAGAAACUUCAAUGUACAAGUGCUCAAUAGAUAUUAAUGAGUUGAUCUGUGGGCCCAAUGGAAAGUCACUCUCAAAACAGAUGGAAGAAAAUAUGUCAUAGCCACACAACUGCACAGGAAUCUCAGAGUGACUACAAAGGAUCAGAAGUCCUGUUCUUCAUUUAGAAUCUGAACAGAGUUCCAAGGAGCGCUAAGUGAGGAAAAACAGCAACAUGAAACAGAAGAACCACAGGAAAAACCAAGAUAAUCAAACCCAGAUGUAAUGGUGUUAACUCAGAAAGCAGGCAAGAACUUUAAACAAUGUUAAAUUAAUAGUACGAUCUGAUAUUCAAGAUGGUAUUGUAUUUGACUGCAAGGAGGAACCACUCAAGUAUAAAGAAAGAGUUCACUGUUUAUGCCAUCUGUGGGCACUUUGAACUACAAAGGCAAAGGCCACUAGAACCUCAAAGCUUGAAUGCCUGACCGUUUGUGGAGUUUGCCAAAGCCUUGUCAGCCAGGAAGAGGAAUUCCUAGGAACAAGGAAGAUACGGUUAUAAACAACUAGGAAAAAAAUACCUAAAAAUGACCAUUUUAGGUAGUGACAUGUGCUAUGGAAAAUACAAUAUGGUUGUGAGACAGAGGUACUAAGGGCAGUAAGAUGCAAACUGGUGGGAAUGGGAGGCAAAGAUUGUGGUCAUGAUUGAUCAAGGUAAGGUGGAGGACACAGCAUUGCACAAGAGAGUCUAGAUUUGAGUGUACCAUGCCAAACGGGACCAUUCCUAGUGAGAAUGGCCAUAAGUCUGUGGCUGAGCUUAUUAGGUGACAAAGGCAUAUUCACCCACACACAUUUUGUCCAACUCUGCCUGAGGCAGCUAUAUCUUUCCCAAGUUUUUCCAACAUUCUCUCUAAUCCCACAAGUUGCUCCCAUGGUGUGAUUUUUACGCUAUUCCCAACAAAAAGUAGGAUCUGUUUCUCUGCCUCUUUACCUUGGGUUGGGUUCCAGCUAUGGGAGACCUAAUGCUGGGACUUGAGAACUUAGAGCUCUAGACCUUUGCUCCUUAGGGCAGUCUCCUCCCCCAGCUGUGUUCCCUGAACCCCACCAAAACUGCAGACAGUGAUGAGUUGACAUUUCAGGUGCCAGGCAAGCUAUGCGAUGGAAGAUUGGAUAGUAUCUAAAUAAUCUUUCAGAUUAGUCCUUUUCUUCAAUCUGCCAGGGGAUUAAAAAUAUGUAAAGCACUCUUUUGUUUGUUAAAAUUCUCCCUUUUCUGUGAUUUCAGUUCUAACCAAACAAUGCCAAUAAUUGCUGACCCUCUAAAAUUGGUCUUCUCUGAUGAUGUUUUUCCUCCUAAGAUUAACUAAGAGCUUUUACCCAGGGUCAUUGCCUUUUUAAUAAAAUAUUUUACU